ACAUCCUUUAAAACAGUCCCGUGAGGCUGGAAAGGAAUGGAUUAAUGAUAAUGGUUGAAGUAUGUCCAAAUCCCUUCUUUCCUCUCGUGGAAGAAGGGAUUUUUUAU
rfam:Sediminibacillus halophilus strain CGMCC 1.6199 genome assembly, contig: Ga0079860_101